GAGUUUGAUCCUGGCUCAGAUUGAACGCUGGCGGCAGGCCUAACACAUGCAAGUCGAGCGGUAACAGGACUAGCUUGCUAGUUGCUGACGAGCGGCGGACGGGUGCGUAACACGUAGGAAUCUGCCCGGGUAGUGGGGGAUAGCCCGGAGAAAUCCGGAUUAAUACCGCAUACGCCCUAAGGGGGAAAGAUGGCCUCUUCUUGAAAGCUAUCACUAUCGGAUGAGCCUGCGUCGGAUUAGCUAGUUGGUGAGGUAAAGGCUCACCAAGGCGACGAUCCGUAGCUGGUCUGAGAGGAUGAUCAGCCACACUGGGACUGAGACACGGCCCAGACUCCUACGGGAGGCAGCAGUGGGGAAUAUUGCACAAUGGGCGCAAGCCUGAUGCAGCCAUGCCGCGUGUGUGAAGAAGGCUCUAGGGUUGUAAAGCACUUUCAGCGAGGAGGAAAGGUUAAAGAUUAAUACUCUUUAGCUGUGACGUUACUCGCAGAAGAAGCA
rnacentral:rRNA from 1 species